GCCAUGGGAACGGAACGCCGCGGACAGAGCCUAGAGCGUCGGAGCCUGUAGCCAUAGCAACGCGGGGAACUUCCGGCCCCGGGAAAUUCCUGGGCGCUGGGGCCAACCCGCGAUCCCACCGCACCCCGGGCUUUCAGCUCUCGGCGGGAGCCACUCGAAUAGCCUCAGGCUUGUCUCCAGAACUUCCCUCAGCUGCGGCUGAAACGUCACCUGUUGUUUUUCUCAAAGGGACUUUACCUGUCUGGAAUGAGGAUGCCGGAAGAGCAGAGAAAUCCAUCGGAGGGCGGAAGAGAGCGCCGCGCUCCAUGGCCUACCCACGUAAAGCUGCGGUGUACCCCUGCGCGCCCCCUGCACCCCCGCAGUCCCCCGGGUGUUCUGGCUCCCGGAGAGAAAAGGCUCAAGUAUAACUAUUAACGGUGUAGGCACCAUCUGUGUGUGCCUCUUCCGGUAAGAUUUGAGCCAUGCUCCAUCAGGAACGCGGAGUGCAGGAAAUGAGUAGUUUAAGUAAUGGGCCACUAAUUCUGCUAAUGCUUAGCAAUUCCGAGAACAUUUUCGGGGCGGGGGGCACACUUGGCUAACACGACACAGCCCUAAUUUAUGCAGCACGUGUUCUUAUACCACUUCUCUUCACUGGCCUGACAUACACAGUAACAAUAAUUCAGAUCUGACAGGUGCAGGGCAACAUGUGGCUAGUACCCCCAGGAACAGCACCGGCUCCGCACAGCGUUUAAGAGUGUUGUCACGAACCCUACAAUAAACGACGGGCCUAUGGCAAGUCAAGCUGAAGGCACCGCUGCUGCAGAAUCCCACAGAGGAGGCAUGUGAACAAGGCUCCUUUCAGAUUCUCCCAUCACCAAAUAAACUGAUUAUCUCUAUCUCAACUCCAAAGACUGAAACUUAAGGACAAGGAAAUCCACCUAUCCUAAAGUACAAUAAACAGCAUCCAUUCAAAGUUUACAGGUGGAAGAGUUUCGAUAGACAUGCACCCAAGGAACCACCACGAGAACCAAGAUACAGAAGAUUUCCAUUAUGUCUACAAGUUUCUGCACGCUUCAUCAUGGCCAACACCUGCCCACCCUGUCCCCAGGCAACCACCACUCUCUUUUUUGCAUUUUCUAGAAUUCCUAUAAAUGGAACAUCAUGGGUAUGAAUUUGUGCCUGGCUGUUUUCACUCAGCCUGAUGAUUUUCAGAUUCACCCGUGAUGCUGCUUGCGAAGGACAUUAGGAUGGGUUCUAGUAUUUGGGGAUAUGUGAAUAAAGCUUCUGCAAACA